CCGCAGUGGAGGCCACUCCUCUUGUUGGGGGGUGGAAGAUGGCCGCAGUGGAGGCCACUCCUCUUGUUGGGGGGGUGAAGAUGGCCGCAAUCUAGGACGCUCCUCUCGUUGGGGGGUUGAAGUUGGCGGCACUGGAGGACGCUCCUCUUGGGGGGGUGAAGGUGGCGGCGAUGAAGACUCCUCCUGGCUCAGCGAUCUCAGUCGUUUUCCUCCAGAAUGUGGUCUUAUCUUCUGUUUUGUUUUGUCUUGUCUCUUGUCCUUGGCCAGGGAAGCUGGUGUGUGAUACACAGAGUAAAAUAGGUUGGAAGUGAACAAUCUUACUCCUGACUUGUUGAGGCAAAAUCCAUCUGCCUUAAAAAGGUGUCUGCGUUCCCAGAAAAUAUUAAAAUUGUUGAGAGAGAAACCGACAAUUUUAAACCAACUUCUGCCCUUAAGUUCUGCCGCUACGCAGAGCAAGAAGAGGAAGACUGUGAUGGAAAAGGAGACGACUUAAAAAUGUUGGAUGAAGAUACAAACACGAGUCAAUAUUCGGGAUGCAUUUCUGAGACAGCUGAAUGAUUUGAAGGGUCUCUAAAGGGACGCCAUGGUUGCUGAUUUUCUACUGGACAGCAACGAGAAGGAAACAUCGACGUCCACACCGUUAAAACAUGGGACGCAGAGGCUUGCGUGAGCUGGGGGGGAUGCCCAAGAAGAGAACCAGGAGGCCGGAUGAUCCACACCAACAUGUUUACCUUCAACAGCCAUUAUUUUUAUUUCUGUAAUAAAUACAUUUUCUAAUAAAAGUAAAUGUAAAACAA